UACAGAGGUCCCAAGCGUUGUUCGGAUUUACUGGGCGUAAAGGGUGCGUAGGUGGCGAGGUAAGUUCGAUGUGAAAUCUCCGAGCUCAACUCGGAAAUGGCAUUGAAUACUAUCCCGCUUGAGGGUCGGAGGGGAGACUGGAAUUCUCGGUGUAGCAGUGAAAUGCGUAGAUAUCGAGAGGAACACCAGUGGCGAAGGCGAGUCUCUGGACGACUCCUGACACUGAGGCACGAAAGCGUGGGGAUCAAACAGG
rnacentral:rRNA from 1 species